rnacentral:rRNA from 1 species
GACGAACGCUGGCGGCGUGCCUAAUACAUGCAAGUCGAACGCAUUGGGGACGGGUGAGUAACACGUGGGUAACCUCCCAUCAGAGGGGAUAACACUUGGAAACAGGUGCUAAAUCGAUACUUAUGGAUGGACCCGCGGUGAGUUAGCAAGUUGGUGAGGUAACGGCCAACCAAGGCCACGAGGCAUAGCCGACCUGGGAGGGUGAUCGGCCCAACUGGGCAUGAGACAGGGCCCUGAGUCCUACGGGAGGCAGCAGUAGGGAAUCUUCGGCAAUGGACGAAAGUCUGACCGAGCAACGCCGCGUGAGUGAAGAAGGUUUUCGGAUCGUAAAACUCUGUUGUUAGAGAAGCGGUAUCUAACCAGAAAGCCACGGCUAACUACGUGCCAGCCGCCGCGGUAAUAC